rnacentral:rRNA from 1 species
UCGAGCGAGAAAGGGUAGCAAUACCUGAGUACAGCGGCGCACGGGUGAGUAACACGUGACUAACCUACCCUCGAGUGGGGAAUAACUUCGGGAAACCGAGGCUAAUACCGCAUAAUACCCACGGGUCAAAGGAGCAAUUCGCUUGAGGAGGGGGUCGCGGCCGAUUAGUUAGUUGGCGGGGUAAUGGCCCACCAAGACGAUGAUCGGUAUCCGGCCUGAGAGGGCGCACGGACACACUGGAACUGAAACACGGUCCAGACUCCUACGGGAGGCAGCAGUGGGGAAUUUUGCGCAAUGGGGGAAACCCUGACGCAGCAACGCCGCGUGGAGGAUGAAGUCCUUCGGGACGUAAACUCCUUUCGAUCGGGACGAUUAUGACGGUACCGGAAGAAGAAGCCCCGGCUAACUUCGUGCCAGCAGCCGCGGUAAUACGAGGGGGGCGAGCGUUGUUCGGAAUUAUUGGGCGUAAAGGGUGCGUAGGCGGUUUGGUAAGUCUCAUGUGAAAUCUACAGGCUCAACUUGUAGUCUGCAUGAGAAACUGCCGGGCUUGAGUGUGGGAGAGGUGAGUGGAAUUUCCGGUGUAGCGGUGAAAUGCGUAGAUAUCGGAAGGAACACCUGUGGCGAAAGCGGCUCACUGGACCACAACUGACGCUGAUGCACGAAAGCUAGGGGAGCAAACAGGAUUAGAUACCCUGGUAGUCCUAGUCCUAAACGAUGACUGCUUUGGUGUGACGGGUA